UAAGGAAUAUUGGACAAUGGAGGCAACUCUGAUCCAGCCAUGCCGCGUGAAGGAAUAAGGCCCUAUGGGUUGUAAACUUCUUUUAGACGGGACAAAACCCCUUUACGUGUAAAGGGUUGAUGGUACUGUCAGAAUAAGCAUCGGCUAACUUCGUGCAAGCAGCCGCGGUAAUACGAAGGAUGCAAGCGUUAUCCGGAAUUAUUGGGUUUAAAGGGUGCGUAGGCGGACUAAUAAGUCAGUGGUGAAAGCCUGCAGCUUAACUGCAGAAUUUCCAUUGAUACUGUUAGUCUUGAGUACAGUUGAGGUAGGCGGAAUGUGUCAUGUAGCGGUGAAAUGCUUAGAUAUGACACAGAACACCGAUUGCGAAGGCAGCUUGCUAAGCUGUAACUGACGCUGAGGCACGAAAGCGUGGGGAGCAAACA
rnacentral:rRNA from 1 species